GACGAACGCUGGCGGCGUGCUUAACACAUGCAAGUCGAACGAAGUGGCGAACGGGUGAGUAACGCGUAAUCAACCUGCCCUUCAGAGGGGGACAACAGUUGGAAACGACUGCUAAUACCGCAUACUGAAGGAGGGGAUUGCGUCUGAUUAGCUAGUUGGAGGGGUAACGGCCCACAAAGGCGAUGAUCAGUAGCCGGUCUGAGAGGAUGAACGGCAAAACUGGAACUGAGACACGGUCCAGACUCCUACGGGAGGCAGCAGUAGGGAAUCUUCCGCAAUGGGCGAAAGCCUGACGGAGCAACGCCGCGUGAGUGAUGAAGGUCUUCGGAUCGUAAAACUCUGUUAUUAGGGAAGCGGUAUCUAACCAGAAAGCCACGGCUAACUACGUGCCAGCAGCCGCGGUAUAC
rnacentral:rRNA from 1 species